GGCGUGUACUCUAGUGGUAGGGUACUUGCCUAGUGUGAAUAUGGCCCUAGGUUCAAUCCCUAGCACCA
rnacentral:tRNA from 1 species